AUACGGAGGGUGCAAGCGUUACUCGGAAUCACUGGGCGUAAAGCGCGCGCAGGCGGCUAUUUAAGUUGGAUGUGAAAGCCUACGGCUCAACCGUAGAACUGCAUCCAAAACUAUUUAGCUAGAGUGUGGGAGAGGAAGAUGGAAUUAGUUGUGUAGGGGUAAAAUCCGUAGAGAUAACUAGGAAUACCAAAAGCGAAGGCAAUCUUCUGGAACUCUACUGACGCUGAGGCGCGAAAGCGUGGGGAGCAAACAGGAUUAGAUACCCUAGUAGUCC
rnacentral:rRNA from 1 species